rnacentral:lncRNA from 1 species
GACACUGUGACAGCAGCCAGCUUGUUUAAAGGGGCAUUUGCUUGCUGUGAAGAAAUGCAGCUGACCUUAAUACCCCAGUGGUUUCAGUAGGACAAGGAUGGUCAAAGUGAUGGCUGACACAGGAAGCAAAGGCAGUCCAUAAAGGUAAAUUUUCAUAUUUUUCAGCAUUCUGAUAGAAGUAAAGACACAAUAUUGACUUGAGUGAUCUGCGAAGAGCAGGUGAAGAGUGAGCACGACCAAGUGGUAAAGGAAUCUAACCCUGGUCAUCGUGGUUGACCUUUCUGAGUUAGAACAGCAUCAAGAGGCUCAACAAGGCUGUGUUUCUACCACACGGUGCAGGAUGAGAGACUUUCCCCUGAAGAAUCUGCAAUCUCAAAUGAUCAGCUAAAAGCUGUGACCUGCCAUGGCACUGAAAAGUACACCGUUUCCUACUUCAGCUUUUGCUCCAGAACCUGCAGGGGCACGGGGUGAUGAGCAUGGAGCUCCUCUUGCCCAUUGCACCCUAACAUUGACUAGGUCCUGCCGCAAACCCCCAGCUCUGCCUUCAUGUUCCCAGCAAGUCGCAGGAGAAGCAUGAAAUUCUGUUUCAUCAGGAUGCAGUGUCCAUUUCAUCAAGAUGCCUCCAGGCCCCCGGCCGAGCACCUGCCUCUUUCAUCACCCUUUGAUGUGUGUCCAGCAAGAGCUGCCGCAACACAACCCCAGCGUCUUCCACCAGAGGGGAGGUCGAGGAGAUAACCAAUAUUAUUCUCCAUCACUGAAAAGCGAUCACCAUUGAUGAGUUUGCCUACCUCUCCUCCCUCAAAAGGACACAUCUGCAGAGAGUAGUUCCAUCCACUCCUCCUUCAUAUUGUCCUGUCGUCCACCUGAACAAUGGAUGUUUUCUUGAUGAAAAUCUUUCUGGAUGCAUUCUUGGAAAUGAAUAGGUAAGAUCUAAACUCUCCCCCCUAAGAAAUACAAUUACACUGCAAUUAUAAACUUUUUCAUUUUUGCAUGUGUCAGGAAACAUAGAUGGAAACUGAUUUAAAUCCAGGUAAAAAGCUAAAUUUUAAUGCUGAGGUUUUACGUGACAUCUUCUCAACUUACCCCUUAGAGAUGUAAUUAAGAUUUCUGUUUGUGAUUUUGUUUUGUGAUUUUUUUUUUGUGAUUUUUUUGGACAGAAGUAUCAUACAUGAAAAGAGUACAGGAUUCACUACAGCUACACAUGGAAACUAGUCCUGAAAUGUUACAUGGAUAAAAUUUCCAGAAAGAAAAGGAAAAGGUACAAUCAUGUGAACUGGUAAGCUAUGGUACUCUUCUCUAUAUGCCAUAUGGCAAACCUUUACAUGGCUUUGUC